rnacentral:lncRNA from 1 species
CUGAAAGCAUAAGAUUCAGCUAACUAGCACUGCAGUGCAUAAAAUGUGGUGAGUAGAUGACUCAAAGAGAGAGAAAGACAAUAUUUGAACAGUUUUGAACAAAUUAAUUUCUUCCAAAAUUGAGACCCAAGAGAUUUUUUUUCAACUUUCACACAGCUAGAAAAUGCAGCUAGCUAGUUUAGCCUACUCAAACACCCAGCUCAAACAGAGAGGGAUGCUAUGUUAGCUAGCUGGCUAUGGCUAUCCAACGCUAGAACUCUUCCAAGUCAAGAAAUUCAAAUUUGCAAGUGUUGGACUACUGAUUACUCCCUAGAUCAGCUAGAUGCAGGAAUGCAGUAGCCUUCCAACUGAGAUGUAGCAUUCCACAUGUACUGAAAACUAGGACAACAUGGUCUUGCUGUCUCCGCCCUUGCUGUCUCUGCCUGGCCGGUUCCCCUCUCUCGCCUGGGAUUCUCUGUCUCCAACCCUAUUACAGGUGCUGAGUCACUGGCUUACUGGUGCUCUUCCAUGCCGUCCCUGGGAGGGGUGCGUCACUUGAGUGGGUUGAGUCAUUGACGUGAUCUUCCUGUCUGGGUUGGCGCCCCCCCUUGGAUUGUGCCGUGGCGGAGGUCUUUGUGGGCUAUACUCGGCCAUGUCUCAGGAUGGUAAGUUGGUGGUUGAAGAUAUCCCUCAAGUGGUGUGGGGGGCUGUGCUUUGGCAAGGUGGGUGGGGUUAUAUCCUGCCUGUUUGGCCCUGUCCGGGGGUAUCGUCGGAUGGGGCCACAGUGUCUCCCGACCACUCCUGUCUCAGCCUCCAGUAUUUAUGCUGCAGUAGUUUAUGUGUCGGGGGGCUAGGGCCAGUCUGUUAUAUCUGGAAUAUUUCUCCUGUCUUAUCCGGUGUCCUGUGUGAAUUUAAGUAUUCUCUCUUUCUUUCUUUCUCUCUCUCUCUCUCGGAGGACCUGAGCCCUAGGACCAUGCCUCAGGACUCAGGACUGAUGCUGCUCCAGUUUCAACUGUUCUGCCGGCGGCUAUGGAAUCUUGACCUGUUCACCGGACGUGCUACCUGUCCCAGACCUGCUGUUCAACUCUCUAGAGACAGCAGGAGCAGUAGAGAUACUCUGAAUGAUUGGCUAUGAAAAGCCAACUGACAUUUACUCCUGAGGUGCUGACCUGUUGCACCCUCGACAUCCACUGUGAUUAUUAUUAUUUGACCCUGCUGGUCACCUAUGAACAUUUGAACAUCUUGGCCAUGUUCUGUUAUAAUCUCCACCCUGCACAGCCAGAAGAGGACUGGCCACCCCUCAUAGCCUGGUUCUUCUCUAGGUAUCUUCCUAGGUUCUGGCCUUUCUAGGGAGUUUUUCCUAGCCACCGUGCUUCUACACCUGCAUUGCUUGCUGUUUGGGGUUUUAGGCUGGGUUUCUGUACAGCACUUUGAGAUAUCAACUGAUGUAAGAAGGGGUUUAUAAAUACAUUUGUUUUGAUUUGGCUGCAAAUGGAUGACCACACCUUCAGGAGACAUCUGUUACCCACGCCCAGUUUGACAACCUUACCAUCCAACUGAAGCAGCAGGAGCUCGAUGACGCACAUCAGCCUGAAGGUUGCCCUAAAGUUCCUCUGAUCAAAAAAGUCCUGGGGGCUCAUUUAUGAAUCAUGCAUAGGCACAAAUCUGUGCAUAAACCAUGCAUGGGGUUAUUUUCACUCGAAGUGUGAGUGUGCAUACAUUUACGCACAACUAUGACAAUGCAUACGCACAGUGCCAAGUAGUGGAAUAAGGGAACUGCUUGUCAAGCGUAGAAUGGUGACAAUACUGUAUCUGUUGAAAAUCUCUGAAAUUGUAAGAGUAAUGAAAUAUAUAUAUAUUUUUUCUAUUGUGAAUUCAUGCAACAUAACUUCACAGGCUAUAUCAUAUAAUUUGACCACAGUGAGUGCAUUUGUUAUGUUAAAUCCAUACAAAGUACAGUCAUUUGUUGAAUUUGAGGCACGUGUGAAAGUGACAAACCAUUGAUGAAAUACUAUAAAAAUGUGAUAAUGGGAAAUGGAAUGAGAGAUGGCUGAUCUUCCUCUGGUGGAAGAUUUGGCACACGCUGCAGAGAGCAGGGUUUUGGAGACAGGUGGGACUUUUUUGCAUAAAGUACAGAUUGGUUUUGGGAAACAGGAUUUAAGACCAGCUUUAGAAAAGUAAAUGCGUGCUUUUCCAGUGCACUUCCAAGUGCUAUCCAUCCUCGGGUUUUUGGCAAUGGGCACUUUUCAGCAGGAGCUUGCCCAUCGGCAUCUCACAGCCCUCAAUGAGGCAAUGUUUUGCAUGCAAUCAUCAGCAAAACGAACAGUAUCAUACAAUUUCCAUACACCAUUAUACAACAGGUUGAAGUCGAGGGGUUUCUUUGCCAUCAAUGGGUUCCUAAAACAUUAAUGGAGCAGUGGCGACCUGUCAUUCAGUGCAGGUGGGGAAGAGCCCCACCUGUUUCGCAAAAAAAUAUAUUACAAUCAUUUUUUGUUGUUGCCUGUUUCACAUGUUAUUUUGGCAUUAAUACGUGUCACAUAUCAGUUUGCAAACAAUCCCAAAAAUAUUUUAUUAAGUUAAUAAAGCCGCCUACAAACAUGUCUCUUUUUUGCUUUCUUGAGUAAGGCAGCUCCAAAUGCAGGUGUUUCAGCCUAGCUCAGUGCUUUUUGUGGCUGAA